GCUCAGGAUGAACGCUAGCUACAGGCUUAACACAUGCAAGUCGAGGGGUAGCAGGGUAGCAAUACCGCUGACGACCGGCGCACGGGUGAGUAACACGUAUCCAACCUUCCCAUAACUCGGGGAUAGCCUUUCGAAAGAAAGAUUAAUACCCGAUAGUACUUUUUUAGGGCAUCUUAGAAAAGUUAAAGAUUUAUUGGUUAUGGAUGGGGAUGCGUUCCAUUGGAUAGUUGGUGAGGUAACGGCUCACCAAGUCUUCGAUGGAUAGGGGUUCUGAGAGGAAGGUCCCCCACAUUGGUACUGAGACACGGACCAAACUCCUACGGGAGGCAGCAGUGAGGAAUAUUGGUCAAUGGGCGAGAGCCUGAACCAGCCAAGUA
rnacentral:rRNA from 1 species